UACUGGAUGCAAAGCCACUUUUGAAGGAGGCCCUUCAAGCCGAAGUUGGGCUUCCAGUUGACAAGGACAUCCCAUUGAUAGGAUUCAUCGGUAGGCUAGAGGAGCAGAAAGGUUCGGAUAUUCUAGUGGAAGCCAUUCCAGAACUAGCUGGAGAGAAUUUGCAAAUAAUAGUCCUUGUAAGUAAGCCUUGGCUUUACUUUCUUCAGUACAUACAUAAUGCUGGUUGAUUUUAUUGUUUUGGUAUGUUCUUUGUGUUAGGGAACUGGCAAAAAGGACCUGGAGAAGCAGAUCGAACAGCUAGAGACCAAAUAUCCGGGAACCGCUGUAGGUGUGGUGAAAUUCAAUGUUCCAUUAGCCCACAUGAUUAUUGGUGGUGCUGAUUUC
rnacentral:lncRNA from 1 species